GGCCGAAAGGCGUAGUCGAUGGAUAACAGGUAGAGAUUCCUGUACUGUGUCAAAUCGUUAAGAGCGAAGGAGGGACGCAGGAGGUGAAGCACGCAUCGCGAUGGAACGAUGUUCAAGCAACAAGUGCGGUUAAGAGUCAAAUGCUUCUAACCAGCAACACGAGUUGUGAAGAGGAGUGAAUUAAAAGUAGCGAAGGUGUGGUAAUCACACUGCCAAGAAAAGCUUCUAGCCAGAGAUGACAUACCCGUACCGCAAACCGACACAGGU
rnacentral:rRNA from 1 species